rfam:Schistosoma haematobium scaffold163_25, whole genome shotgun sequence.
AUCUAGCUGACGAGUCCCAAAUAGAACAAAACAUGAGUCCUCGAU